GAAUGGUAACAGGAAACAGCUUGCUGUUUCGCUGACGAGUGGCGGACGGGUGAGUAAUGUCUGGGAAACUGCCUGAUGGAGGGGGAUAACUACUGGAAACGGUAGCUAAUACCGCAUAACGUCGCAAGACCAAAGAGGGGGACCUUCGGGCCUCUUGCCAUCAGAUGUGCCCAGAUGGGAUUAGCUAGUAGGUGGGGUAACGGCUCACCUAGGCGACGAUCCCUAGCUGGUCUGAGAGGAUGACCAGCCACACUGGAACUGAGACACGGUCCAGACUCCUACGGGAGGCAGCAGUGGGGAAUAUUGCACAAUGGGCGCAAGCCUGAUGCAGCCAUGCCGCGUGUAUGAAGAAGGCCUUCGGGUUGUAAAGUACUUUCAGCGGGGAGGAAGGGAGUAAAGUUAAUACCUUUGCUCAUUGACGUUACCCGCAGAAGAAGCACCGGCUAACUCCGUG
rnacentral:rRNA from 1 species